AUUGCCCGAGCUCCAUUCACAGCACACAAAUCAAACCUAGUAUUCCUCACCCUUCUUCUCCGUCAAUGACUCAACGGGCUACUUCUUCUUCUCCUUUCCUCACCCACAGCACCACCGCCAGCCACCCUAACCGCCGCAGCUACCUUCUUGUCUCUUUUCACAGAAAAUGCAGCUUCCGGAAUGGCGGUCCAUGAUGACUGCAAGUUGCGGUUUUUGGAACUCAAGACAAAAAGGACUCACAGGUUCAUAGUUUUCAAGAUUGAGGAGAAUCAAAAGCAAGUCAUUGUGGAGAAGCUUGGUGAGCCAGCUCAAGGCUACGAAGAUUUCGCUGCUUGCCUCCCUCAUAAUGAGUGCCGCUAUGCUAUAUAUGAUUUCGAGUUCUUGACCGAAGGCAAUGUCCCCAAGA